rfam:Triticum aestivum genome assembly, contig: Triticum_aestivum_CS42_TGACv1_scaffold_211397_3AS
CACAUACUCCCUCCGUUCAAAAAAAUUUGUCCCUCAAAUGGAUGUAUCUAGCAUCAAGUUAAUACUAGAUACAUCCAUUUGAGAGACAAGAUUGGGACAAGCUUUUUCGGACGGAGAUAGUAUUUG